CUACGGGUUGCAGCAGUGGGGAAUAUUGGACAAUGGGGGAAACCCUGAUCCAGCAAUGCCGCGUGUGUGAAGAAGGCCUGCGGGUUGUAAAGCACUUUCGGUUGGGAGGACUGCUUCUAGCACUAAUAUUGUUGGAAGUUGACGUUACCUUCAGAAGAAGCACCGGCUAACUCCGUGCCAGCAGCCGCGGUAAUACGGAGGGGCAAGCGUUAAUCGGAAUUACUGGGCGUAAAGCGCGCGUAGGCGGCUAGAUCAGUCGGGUGUGAAAGCCCCGGGCUUAACCUGGGAACUGCAUCCGAUACUGUCUAGCUUGAGUACAGGAGAGGAGAGUGGAAUUCCACAUGUAGCGGUGAAAUGCGUAGAUAUGUGGAGGAACACCAAUGGCGAAGGCAGCUCUCUGGCCUGAUACUGACGCUGAGGUGCGAAAGCGUGGGGAGCAAACAGGAUUAGAUACCCCAGUACUC
rnacentral:rRNA from 1 species